rnacentral:misc_RNA from 1 species
AUAUUUUGAAUUAAGUAUAUUCAUAAUAUGUUAUCAGACGAAUGUUGUUAAAGAUAUAGGUUGAUGUUUGGUCGAUCUCCAAGAAGAUCGACUGACAUUGCACACAAGGUGGAUAUGGAUUUAAAAAGUGCCAUAAAACACUUAUUAUGAAUGAUCCUUCCGCAGGUUCACCUACGGAAA